UCAUUUGUGGGGAGGAGAAAGGAAAAAGAGUAUUUCAAGCAACUGACUGCAGUCAUUUUUCUAUUCUAGGGGUAGUUGCCUAAUCCAUAUCCAUGUGGAUAGCUCUUUACUUAGGAAACCUUGAUGGCUUAUUUGGAUGACAAAGGUUCCCUUUUGGCGAUACAUAGCCAUGCGAGACAACAUAGCCAUGAAACAAACCAAGUCCACCAGUGGCUUCCUAGGAACACAUUUGCUUUCCUGAUAAAAGAGGACAGAUGCAGUUGCAGAAGUACCUGUGCCUCUUUUUCUUUUUCUUCUUCUUUUUCUUUUUUAAUCUCUUAAAUGCAGAUAUAAGAACUGGUACUGAAGCAGCCAUCUUGUGACCAUAAGGAAGAAGCCAAGAACAUCAGAACCAGUGGCCUAGCCAUUGCACAGUCAUCUAAACACA
rnacentral:lncRNA from 10 species